UCGCCCACAAUGCCUUUCAACGGUUUCAACACGGAUGUGGCUGGGUGCGUGGUGUGAGCGGAUACGAUGCACUUGCCGGUCGGCAGCACGCCGAAGCCCUGUAAAGGGGCAUCCCUGUUGGCGCCGUGGUCAACGCGUAAAGCGUCUGCCCAGUCGGUUCCUCCAAUGGUCUCCUCGCGCUAACCCCGUAGCGUGUGGUUUUUAGCGGGCUCCAGGCCCGCUUUUUUUU
rnacentral:ncRNA from 1 species